rnacentral:lncRNA from 1 species
AGUCAGACACGACUGAAGAGACUUAACAUGCACGUGUAGUGCUCAAUGGUGAUGCUCCCUCCCCACCUCCGCCACCAACUCCUGGUUGAAGGAGAGAGGGGACACAUGGCACCGCCUUCUCCACACUGGCCCCUAGGGGGCGCAUCACUUCCCUGCCCAAACCAGCAGGGGAGCAGCCACCAUCACACCCCAUGGACCCAGGUGGAAACUGCUUUUUAAUGAGACUAAUUUGUUAUGGAAAGAACUUGAAUCAACUUCAAAGUUAGUUAAAUAAGAGAUCAUCUCCUCUAGUUUCAUAAAUCAAGGGGGAUACAAAGAGAGAGGGAAAUAAAGAGAUCAUGGAAGCCAGGCAGCAGAGGGGCUUGGGUGGCCCUGAGUUCCUGCCCCAUGGGAGGGGGCAGGGUUCUGGCAUGGUGUGCUGGGAAGGAAUCUUCUUUUCCUUCUUCCGAAUGAAGAGCCUGGCCCAGAAAGCUGUUCCUCCUCCUGCUGCCACUGUCGUGGGGGAGAGGCUGUGGUCUCUGAGGUGCAGGCUCUGUACACGUCCGUAAAUCCUGGGAGUUGUGCUUUAGAGUGAAGCAGGAUGUAUCUUAACCAGCCCAUCCUCCACCUGAAGCUGCAAUGGAACUUCCUCGAGGAUGGGGGCUGCCAAGUGGCUUUUGAGAGCCUCCCCCAGGCAUCUGGCAGACUGAGGAGGAGCCCACAAGCCCUCUCUCUCUGCAGCUUCAAGGAGGUAUUUAUUGGCCACCUUAACUGAUGUUUUUGAACUGUGGUGCUGGAGAAGACUGUUGAGAGUCCCUUGGACAGCAAGGAGAUCAAACCAAUCAGCCCUAAAGGAAAUCAACCCUGAAUAUUCAUUAGAAGAGCUGAAGCUGAACGUGAAGAGCCAACUCAUUGGAAAAGACCCUGAUGCUGGGAAAGAUUAAAGGUAAAAGAAGAAGGGGCUGGCAGAGGAUGAGAUGGUUAGAUAGCAUCACUGAUUCAAUGGACAUGAACUCUAGGAGACAGUGAAGGACAGAGGAGCCUGGCAUGCUGCAGUCCAUGGGGUCACAAAGAGUUGGACACAAGUUAGUGACUGAAUAACAGCCCCAUCUCAGCUGUCAAGUUUAUUCUCCUUUUCUAGGCCCAGGGGAGAAGGAUGGUUCAACUCAGUCUCUUAAAUGCUAGGCCUGGGCAAGGGAGUGGAAAGUCCUUUGAAAUUUCCAAUAAAUAAAUAAAAAUAACUUUGAGGGUUUGUCA